rnacentral:rRNA from 1 species
CAAUGUAGGUAAGGGAAGUCGGAAAAACGGAUCCGUAACCUUGGGAUAAGGAUUGGCUCUGAGGACUGAGCGGUCGGGCUGGGGACCUGAAGCAGGAACGGCACUGCACCGGGACUGGGCUCGCCGUUCACGCGGCGCGGCCAAGCCCGGACCAGUGUCGGGACCUUCCUGUGGAAAGCCUCAGCUGCGCGGCGUCUGUGGGCUUCGUGCCCAAAGUGCUAUGCUUCGGCCGGCAAAAAACAGUCAACUCAGAACUGGCACGGACCGGGGGAAUCCGACUGUCUAAUUAAAACAAAGCAUUGCGAUGGCCGCUGGUCGGUGUUGACGCAAUGUGAAGAAGAAGCUGAAUCCGCCGUAAUUAAACAAACGGCUUGUCCGAAAUGUUUUAGCUAGAA